AGAUUAAUUGUGACUACCUUAUACCAAAAAUAAAAGGUCUCAUUGUAUAUUUUUCCUUUUAGAUUUACUAUAUUGUGAAUAAGCAAAAGUGCUGAAAAUUAACAACCAAAAAGUGCAAAAGGAAAAAAGAUACACUAUCAGAACGACAGGGAGAUGGAGGGGAAGAGUGGAGAAAUUUAAUAAAUACGAUCUUAACCGUUCAUUUUGUAAGUAAUGACAUGGAUGGUUAUGACUAAAAAGUAUUAAUCAAAUGAUAAAUUUCAACCUAUAAUCACUUAUUUUUGUAAUUAACAGUUGUUUCUAGAUUUUCAUGUUUGCAAACAGGGAAAUUAUCAGCAAAAGAUUUUCUCGAUUUUCACAGAUAGGUUCCAAACACAACAAUGGUGUCUUCACAGAGAGUCCAACACCUCUCUCUCUUUCACGUCCCUUACCCUUACAUUCAAACUACCCCAUGAAAGACCCUCUUUCUCUCUAAACCCUAAUUUUAAUCAAACCCAAGUUUCUGUCAUUGACCUUUGCAACUUCGAUCCCGAGUUUUCCAGCCUUGUCCAACACCAAGUCAAACAAGUUUGCGAGAAAUCGGGAGCUUUUCAAGUAAGAAACCAUGGCGUUUCAGAAAAUUUGAUAGAAGAUAUGAAGAGGAUAGGCAUGGGUCUAUUUUAUUUGAGCUUGGAUUAUAAGAUCAGGUAUGCUUGUGAUGCUAAUUUUGCAGCGAGUGAGGGUUAUGGUAGUAGGAUGCUGGAUUGGAGAGACUAUUUUGACCACCAUUCCUUGCCAGAGUUCAGGAGAAGUCCGAAUAAUUGGCCUGAUUUUCCAGAUGAUUACAGGGUAGUUUGAUUGAUUAUUUUUUUGGGUGAAUUUUGGUUAGGAAGUUUAGUUGUUUUGUUUAUUUGGUCAUGAAGCUCUCUCUCUCUCUCUCUCUGUCUCUCUCUCUCUCUCUUUGCUGUCUGUUAAUGGAAUUCUGGCUCAUAAACAUGGCUUCAAACUGAUUUUUUUCAAACUACCAUAACGAGAUUUUCUUGAGAGAGAGAGAGAGAGAGAGCAUUUUUGUUUUAAAAUAAUCAUCUUAGAGAGGGGUAAAGCUUGGGGUUCAGAUCACACUACUAAAUCACAAAGUGAGUAAUAGCCAUUGAAUCAAUUCAAAAGAGUAAGAAAAAGAUAUUGAAUCAAAGUUACUUGUUCCUCUCUCAACUUUAACACUAUAUAACCAUUAUUUCUAUGGUACAUUCGAGAAAAACGAUAUUUCUUUAGAGAUUUUCAACAUAGUUAUCGCGAAGAAUACUUUUAUCCCAUCUUGUGCGCAGGGAUGUUGCACUAAGAUACAGUGAUCAGAUGAGGUUGCUUGUUCAAAAGCUUUUAAAGAUUAUAUCUGAAAGUCUUGGCUUGCCAUCUGCUUAUAUCCAAGAGGCAAUUGGUGAACCUUAUCAGAAUAUUACUAUUAAGUUAUUAUCCCCCAUGCCCACAACCAGAACUUACUCUUGGUUUGCAAGCACAUUCGUACAUGGGUGCAAUUACCCUUCUUGUACAAGAUGAUGUUGGGGGUCUUCAAGUAUUAAAUGAUGUGGAUUGGAUAACCGUGGAACCUUUACCAGAUGCCAUUGUUGUGAAUCUCAGUGAUCAGACUGAGCCUGAAGAGAAUGCCUAGGGACCAUGCUGUCGUUUGGAAUGCAGAGUGAGUUUAAUUUGAGAUGCUUAACAGAUCACAAAAUGGCUAUAAGAAAUUUACCAAGUAAUAUAGCAAUCCAAAGUGUGCUUUCAUCUGGUCGCAGAUGAAGUAAGCUUGAAGUUGAGUCAAAUUAUCGUCAAAACCAAGCUUGAAGUUGGGACAACCAUAGGCCUCGAUACUAUGAACGGCAGGAUUUUGUAUGGGCUUUGCUGUGAGGCUCUAGCACGACAAAGGAUGUAUUUUGGAGGAAAUUUAUGAUGAGGUUCAUGGACCAGUGGGUUUAGUGGUUGAUCUUCAACGAUUGGGAAGUGAGUCGUAAGUUAUUUCGACCGAUGGGGAUCAAAUGGUAUUAUUUGGGUCCUCUGGCAAAUUAUGCUCUCUCAUGGGCGAAGGCUGACCUAGCCCAACCUGAUCACUUCCUACCGAGUUUCAGUUUGUCAUUUGUUUUUCAGAACCUAUUGUUACUCAUGGUGAAUCCCUUAACAACACCAGAUGGUUCAAAAUGGACAGCUAUAUCAUGUGCAAAAGUAGUUAAUGUGAAGUAUUCGAUCCAAUUUGUCUUGAA